UACGGGGGGGGUAAGCGUUGUUCGGAAUUACUGGGCGUAAAGGGCUCGUAGGCGGCCAACUAAGUCGGACGUGAAAUCCCUCAGCUUAAACUGGGGAACUGCGUCCGAUACUGGAUGGCUUGGAUUGGGAGAGGAAUGCGGAAUUCCAGGUGUAGCGGUGAAAUGCGUAGAUAUCUGGAGGAACACCGGUGGCGAAGGCGGCAUUCUGGACCGACAUUACGCUGAGGGAGCGAAAAGCCAGGGGGAGCAAAACGGGG
rnacentral:rRNA from 1 species